GGCGACCGGGUGAGUAACACGUGACUAACCUACCUCCGAGUGGGGAAUAACUCCGGGAAACCGGGGCUAAUACCGCAUAACAUCGCAAGAUCAAAGCAGCAAUGCGCUUGGAGAGGGGGUCGCGGCUGAUUAGCUCGUUGGCGGGGUAACGGCCCACCAAGGCGAAGAUCGGUAUCCGGCCAGAGAGGGCGCACGGACACACUGGAACUGAAACACGGUCCAGACUCCUACGGGAGGCAGCAGUGGGGAAUUUUGCGCAAUGGGGGAAACCCUGACGCAGCAACGCCGCGUGGAGGAUGAAGCCCUUUGGGGCGUAAACUCCUUUCGACUCGGACGAUAAUGACGGUACGAGUGGAAGAAGCACCGGCUAACUCUGUGCCAGCAGCCGCGGUAAUACAGAGGGUGCGAGCGUUGUUCGGAAUUAUUGGGCGUAAAGGGCGCGUANGCGGUGCGGUAAGUCACCUGUGAAAUC
rnacentral:rRNA from 1 species